GAUGAAGAACGUAGCGAAAUGCGAUAAGUAAUGUGAAUUGCAGAAUUCAGUGAAUCGUCGAAUCUUUGAACGCACAUUGCGCCCCUUGGUAUUCCGAGGGGCAUGCCUGUUCGAGCGUCAUUUUGACCACUCCCGCUUGCGGGGUCUUGGGCCUUCGCCUCUGGGCGGGCCUUAAAAUCAGUGGCGGUGCCGUCCGGCUCUAAGCGUAGUAAAUCUCCUCGCUAUAGGGUUCCGGAGGGAUGCUGGCCAACAACCCCCAACUUUUAAGGUUGACCUCGGAUCAGGUAGGGAUACCCGCUGAACUUAAGCAUAUCAAUAAGCGGAGGA
rnacentral:misc_RNA from 1 species